UUCGCAACGAAACUUCGGAAUAUUACUAAUUUUGUGAUGCUCUUUCAAGCUGUGAUGAAAUUUUUGUCCAGGUUAGUCUAGAUCAAAAUUUCACUUAAAAGGGGAAAGGUCUAUUUGAGCCAGCAGUACUACGGUGUGACACGAAUCCUUUAAAAAGCAUAGUCUGUCAAGAUACGAUGGUCUGGAAGCCCGGCAAACUUCAAAGCCACAAAAUAGAAGACCUUUGUUUGAUGUUGAACUGUACCUCACUGUACACAAAUCCUUUGUCUCAACUUCAUUAAAUAUUAUUCAUCGUGGUUGCACGUUUCAUCUCAGCUAUCCCUAUUGGACGAUUACUUCAUUAUAUGAAAAUACAAUGAGCUCAAUCACCGUGACCGUGCAUAAAUUAACAUAAACUCCGACAAAACAUAACUCAAUGACUUCUGUUCAGUUUCCAGACAGCAUCACAUCUUGACAGACUAUGAAAAAGUGAUUAGUUACGUUACAAAAUAACUUUCGUAAUUAAUUACCGAAAAAUUUCUCAAAAAGUAAUUAGUAGUUAGUAACGCGUUACUGUAGUAUAUAGCGAAUAUUUACAACACUGCAAUCAAUUUAGAGAUCAGCGACCACCUGUUACACACAUUUCUCCAAAGAUAGACUAAAUACCAAAUGAUCUUAGACCCAGUGCUUUUACUUGAAUGCCAAAAACGUAUUUGCCUACCUGUCAAUGCUCGCUCAACUAUGACUACAGCAAAUAACUCGACAGUUGAUAAUCCGACAUAUAUAUAAUUCUUCAUUAAUACUACUUUGAAAAGGUUAAAUUAAGGCUUAGUUAGCCUAACCAAUUUUUAUAAACCACUGUUUGUGACGAGAUAUCAUAAUGCUAUGUUAAUAAACAAAUAUUGACUGUGAUUUGAUGUUAUCGAUGAUGUAGAACAUUGGAUUAUGUUUAAUACUAAAACAUAUGUAGCAAUUUUAACACU